CCAUGGCUCACUUUAGCAUUGUCGGACUUGUAGUCACGUAUAACGCAAAUGUCUUCGGCAAAAGAAGCAUCGUCGCGUCCUUCUCUGAAGUGAGCGAACGAGGAGGGAUCGUGUUUUUAUUUUCUUCCUCCGUUAAACAAUUAGAACAUUCCCUGUCAUGGCAGCAAGUUAUUCCCUCACAAGGAGAUAAGAGCACAGCAAAGGAAGGAUGAGCUCAUUUUAAAAGUUUUCAAACACACACAAACAUGAAAUCUUUUAGACUCUAAUAGUUUGGGGACAUUUCAUUCAAAACUUCACUGCAUGCCAUUGAACUCCACAAACAAGCCACGCCACAUGUAUUUCAUAUUUUAGUUUUUUUUUUCCAUUGUCUCACGCCAUUCCUAUCACAUCUAUUUUCUGUGCCUCAGUGAACGUAUCAUUUCAUUUUCGAUUUCUUUGCUACCCCAGUGGUUACUGUAAAGGUGCAUCUAGUGGGACCAGAAAUGCCUGAUCUGUAGCUCCUGAGACAUACUUACCUCCGUGUACACCAAUUUUUACCCUGGAAGGGAGAGGGGGAGUGGUGUGUGUGCGUGGGCGAAGUUUGAGUGACAGCCAAAUGCUUUUAUUAUUGUUUGACAUGAUACAUUUAAAAAUAUGUUUUACGAUCAUAAAAAUUUUUAAGUAAAACCAUUUUCUGUUAAAGCAUCCAGAAAAGUUGUAAGAAUUAAAAUCUUUUGCUUGUAUUUUGAUAUAGUGGGCUUUCCAGGUUUAAAGGAGUGGAAUAGGUGUGGUUACUAGGUUAUGUAGGUUUCUAAUUCAUUGGCCAGCGUAAACAAAUUAUUCUGUCUCCACCCCUCUGUAUUGUUUCAGUGAGUAGAUAAAAGCGUCCACACACUCAUCACACUUUCGGAAAUAAUCCAUCAGAGGUAAAAAUGACUGAGGAAAAGGUGUUCAACAAUCUGGCUCAAAACCAGGAUUUAAACAACUACAUUAUUUCCUUGAUCAAUCUUACCAAAGAUAAUCCUCAUACAUCAUUGUUUUUAUUGUCAAAUCUUGAAAAAAAUAUUAAAAGUCUAGAAAACUGUUUUAAUAUUAUUAAAAAAGAUUUUGAUCUUAUUGGGUUUAUCGUUAAACUCAAAUACAAUGGAGUUUCAAAAGGCAAGAUUCUAUCACAGUGUUUUUAUGCACAUGAGAGGCUUGUUUUGACAACCUGUCACUCAACUGGUAUUGACUCUGACUUAAUUUUUGCUUUCUUUCCAUCGAAAGAUGAUGCCUUAAUUUACAAACUUAAUUCACGUCCCAUUUACUAUUCCGAAAAAAUCGAUUAUGCAUUCUUUGAACUGCCAGCGGAUGCUUUUGUCCCUUGGGAAAGGGGAUUGUUGACACGAAUUACAGGGGAUCCGAAUUACGACAAGGAAGUUCAUUUCAAAACCUACCGGAAAUUUAAACAAGUUAAUUCAACCCAUGCGACUGUAAUAGAAACCCCCAUAGAAAUGAAAAAUGGGGUUCAGAGAUCAGAAUUUUUAAUUGACCAAGUUGGUAUUCCUGGUGAUAGUGGUGCCCCAGUUUUCAAUGAAAACGGGAGCAUUGUGGGGAUUUAUCGUGGAGGCAUUGGCCUUCAACCGACUGGGAUAUGCAUUAACAUCAUAUACAUCCUGAUAGAUAUGGGGGAAAAAAAAAAAAAAAAAAAAGGAAAAGCAGAACAUUUGUGGGCAUAUGUCAUGAAAA